rnacentral:rRNA from 1 species
UACAGAGGGUGCAAGCGUUGUCCGGAAUUAUUGGGCGUAAAGAGCUCGUAGGCGGCUCGUUGCGUCGGCUGUGAAAACCCGCAGCUCAACUGUGGGCUUGCAGCUGAUACGGGCGGGCUGGAGUUCGGUAGGGGAGACUGGAAUUCCUGGUGUAGCGGUGAAAUGCGCAGAUAUCAGGAGGAACACCGGUGGCGAAGGCGGGUCUCUGGGCCGAUACUGACGCUGAGGAGCGAAAGCGUGGGGAGCGAACAGG